CAACUGCUGGCAAUCCUCCAUCAGCAGUGGCUUGGCGCACAGUAUUUCCACCCUGGUUCUAGAGACAAUCAUCCCUAGAUUGCACGUAACAUGUUGCCGAACCCCCGCCUGUCCGACUACCCUCCUGUCGCCGAACCAUCGCCUGUCUGACUACCCUCCAGUCGCCAAUCUGACUACCCUACUGUCGCCAAUCUGACUGCUCUCCUGUCGCCUAACCCUCGACCGAGCACGGCAACCCUCCUCCACUCCAUCUCGACCCUCCUCACAGUCUGCACGCCGGACGUGUGGUCGAGAGGCAGCAGGCAGCUGCUGACUCAGGUCAGGGUUGACAGAACCACCUCCACAGGUGUGCCUCCUCCAGCACCACGGCAAGGGUCUGGGGCCGGGCGAGGCGGACGUGCUGCCCUAGACGCUCCGGCUUGAGGCCCCGCAGGAGGGCGUGGAGAGCCACGUCCUGCCGUGCAGCGGCGGGGCAGUCCUGGUAUCCGCGUCUGGUGUACAGCAGGACUUCGGCAGCGUAGACCCCCAGGCUCUCCUUCUUCUUCUGGCGGCGGUCAGCCGGCUGGCCGAACCACAUUCCAGUGCCCUGGUCAUGGCCUGGAGCCCUCGCUGCUCCUCCGGGUCCAGAACGGGCAGCACCCGUGCUGCUGUCCCCUCCAACGCCCAGAGCAAGGUUGACGACCAACUCUUCUGCACCCCAGCUGUUGUGCCAUUGAGCCAGGCGGAACUGGGCCAGGUAUGGCUCCUGCGGCGUUGCCUCUGUUCAUUUUGGAAGCUUCACCACUGUCCUUGCCACCAAGGGGCGGUGGACAGCUGCCUUUUCUCUGGCCGCGGCCACCAGAAGGCGCUGCGCUCCAGUAUCGCAGGGUGUGUCGUAGCGGGUAGGAACUGUCACUUCCUCUAUGGGCUCGACCUUCUCCGCGAGUGCAGGCCAUAUCCCACUUCUGACACCAAUGUGGCGAGUAGCACAGGAAGGAUGAGACGGGAGCCCAAGUAAAGCAGUCGUAUAAUUCUUGCACUCCUUACACUGCACGACUGCGGUAGUUGCCUUUAAUUAACACACACACAUUACACAAAGGAAAACACUCCAGCUAACAAAUCAACAUGAAUGUCUCCAACACAAAUACACCACCAUCUUGGCAUACCCCAACCGUUUAACUCAAAGGUCCAACUGGUGGUCUGAAUCCCCCAGGAUCCCUUGUGGGAUACACUGAACACGGUGACCAUGCCUAAGGUCGCCACAAUAUUAAAAACUGACCUUUGAACCGACUUCAUAAUGUUUAACUGGAGUCCCCGGUUCGGGGGUGAAGUUACAACAAUACACAAUUCUAGCUAGGUAAGCAUUUUUAUUUGAUUAGCUAAACAGUAACCUACCUACUAGGCCUAAACCAUUCACUUACCCUCUCAUAUCACAGCAACAAGGCUACACAAAUUAAACCAGGUCACAUAAUUUACUUUAAAAAUGUUAAAUAUAAUUGGAUGAGGUAGUACAUGGCCUUAUAGUGUAUUUUGAUGGAAUGAUUUUAACCAGAGCUUUUAAAAUCAUGAAGGCCAGCGUAGCUGGAUAGUGAAAAGCAGCAUACAUAAUGAAAAGGAAGGCUAGAAGUAGGGACAUGGACAAUUUAUCAGGAGGAAGAGAAGAAAAUAAAUGAAAAAGGAGAAGACAGUAGGCAUACUGGAGAGAGCAGGAGGCUCAGAGGCUUUUUUGGCGUUUU